AACGAACGCUGGCGGCAGGCCUAACACAUGCAAGUCGAGCGAGGACUUCGGUCCUAGCGGCGGACGGGUGAGUAACGCGUGGGAACGUGCCCUUUGCUUCGGAAUAGCCCGGGGAAACUGGGAGUAAUACCGGAUGAGCCCUUUGGGGGGAAGAUUUGUCGGCGAAGGAUCUGCCCGCGUUGGCUUAGGUGGUUGGUGGGGUAAUCGCCUCCCAAGCCUACGAUCCAUAGCUGGUUUGAGAGGAUGAUCAGCCACACUGGGACUGAGACACGGCCCAGACUCCUACGGGAGGCAGCAGUGGGGAAUCUUAGAAAAUGGGGGGAACCCUGAACUACCCCUGCCGCGUGAGCAAUGAAGGCCUUAGGGUUGUAAAGCUCUUUAAGCUGGGACGAUAAUGACGGUACCAACAGAAGAAGCCCCGGCUAACUCCGUG
rnacentral:rRNA from 1 species